ensembl:lncRNA
CCAAUAGUAAUUUUGGCUCAGUGAGCAAUACUCACAGCUGGCCACCUGCCUGGGCAUGGCCAGCUAGCUGGGUUUUGAAGGGACUCCGAGGAGGCUGGUUUUCUUGGGCUAGGCUAGGAAGGGCCCCAAGGCAAAGGUACGAAGCCUGUGUUUGAUGCCACCAAGGGGAGCCAAUGGAAUAGGGCAGAGUGGGUUGUGGGGCUGGCAUCAGAGGACGGGGUAAGCGGCCGGGCCCGCGCCGCCUCGGGCUGCGGUCACAGGACACCGACUCCUGCUCCUGCCUGCGGGUUGGGUCGGGUCCGCCAGAGUGGGAGGGGGCGUGGCACUCUCGGAAACGGCUGCGCCGGCGGAGAGUUUGACUCUAUGGUUGAGGCGCGGUAAGAUGAUGUCACUACUAGCCUGGUUGGGUCACGUGGGUGAUCACCAAUGUUUGUGCGUGGCGCAGAGCGAUGAGGCGGUAGUGGGGCGCGCGCCAUGCGGAGCGGCGGCUGUUCGGAUACAGGACCUGGGCACAGACAAUAGAAGAUCAAGAGAUCUCUGGAAAACAAAAAGUAUGCAUAUGUUUCUUUGAAAUCUGGCUAAAAACAAGGAACAAAGUUGAGAAAUUCUCACUGCAGAGUUCCAUCCCCUCCUUUUAACAAUGUCCUUAACCUUAAGGGCGAUAUAAAUGGCACAUUUUCCAUAGCUUAUCUUGGGCCUGGAUUAAGCUGGCUCACAGUGGUCACCAUACCCCAUUAAUUGUAAGAUUUUGUUUCAGGGGAUUCUUUAGUAGGAGUAGAGAGGUUAUUUUACCUCUGUAUUUGGUACUGGUGCAACUGCUGCUGGAAUACUGUUUCCAGUUCUGGUGUCCAUAAUUCAAGAAGGAUGUUGAUAAACUGCAGAGAAGAGCAACAAAGAAUAACUAAAGGAUUAGAAAACUGACCUUAUAGUGAUAGGCUCAAAGAGCUCAAUCUAUUUAGUUUAGCAAAGGGAAGAUUUAAGAGGUGACUUGAUCCCAGUCUAUAAGUACCUACAUGGGGAACAAAUAUUUAAUAAUGGGCUCUUCGGUCUAGCAGAGACAGGCUGGAAAUAAGAUGUUCAUUUUUAAUGGUGAAAGUAAUUAACCACUGGAACAACUUACCAAGCGUUGUGGUGAAUUCUCCAUCACUAACCAUUUUAAAAUCAAGAUUAAACAUUUUUUCUAAAAUAUAUGCUCUAAGAAUUAUUUUGGGGAAGUUCUGUGGUGUGUGUUGAACAGAAGGUCAGACUAGAGCAUCGGUUCUCAAACUUAAUUACACCACAACCCUCUUCUGAUGACAAAAAUUACUACACGACCCCGGGGGGAGGGAGGGCAAAGCCUGAGCCCCACCGCCCUGGGUUGAGGGGCCAAAGCCUGAACCCCAACACCCGGGGCAGAGAAGCCAAAGUCAAAGCCCAACAGCUUCAGCCCUAGGUGUGUGGGGGGUCUGUAACCUGAGCCCCGCCACCCAGGGCUGAGGCCCUUGGGCUUCAGCUUCAUCCCUGGACUCCAGCAAGUCUAAAUGCCAGCUCUGGUGACCAUUACAAUGGGGUCGUGACCCACCUUGUGGUCC